ACAACCACAAUAACAACAGUCUGAUUACAGGGACAUCACAUCUAACACCAAGAUCAGAGUGGACUUGGACGACUGACAGUCUGACUGACACAACAGUCGGAUGGACUGUAGACUGACAACCACCGGACUGAACACUAGAAAGAACCAUGUGUCACAUGUUCUACUGAACCUCAUCCAGAUACAGUCAUGACUGAAGAGAAAUUUUCACUCUGACUGUUUGACAUUUUUAUGGACAUAGUAAUAUACGAUUGACCUUCUGUGUUUGUACUUCCUGGUCUCUACGGUAUCAACAGGAAGUGGUUCAACAACAGAGAGUGGGUGUUUUUGACAGUGUGACGGUGACUUCACGUCCAGUUCAUCUGACACAAACCAAAGGUCUUGUCUUUGAAGCAUUUUUAUGAUAGUAAUUAUCUUUGAUUAUAGUUUAUGUUUGUUUCGUCAUUUUCAAUCUUAACGUGUUGAUAUUUUAUACAGUUUUUACAGUUUUUUUUAUCAUUUCAACACCUCCUGGAAUAAAAAGGUAAAUAAUUUAUUUUGGUGAAAAGUGAAAAACCAUGUGUAUGUUGUUUUACCUCAGUCCUAAAUCAGUGACCUGGUAACAUCCAGACAAACUCAGGAACCUCAGUGAGCGUCUUGCCCGUGAUUGGUCAGUCUUUUUUUCAGGCUCGGGGCACUGCGGGCCCACGGAGGAGGAG